rnacentral:rRNA from 1 species
AUUGAACGCUGGCGGCAGGCUUAACACAUGCAAGUCGAGCGGGGGAGGUUGCUUCGGUAACUGACCUAGCGGCGGACGGGUGAGUAAUGCUUAGGAAUCUGCCUAUUAGUGGGGGACAACAUUCCGAAAGGGAUGCUACUACCGCAUACGCCCUACGGGGGAAAGCAGGGGAUCUUCGGACCUUGUGAUAAUAGAUGAGCCUAAGUCGGAUUAGCUAGUUGGUGGGGUAAAGGCCUACCAAGGCGACGAUCUGUAGCGGGUCUGAGAGGAUGAGCCGCCACACUGGGACUGAGACACGGCCCGGACUCCUACGGGAGGCAGCAGUGGGGAAUAUUGGACAAUGGGCGGAAGCCUGAUCCAGCCAUGCCGCGUGUGUGAAGAAGGCCUUUUGGUUGUAAAGCACUUUAAGCGAGGAGGAGGCUCUUAAGGUUAAUACCCUUGAUGAGUGGACGUUACUCGCAGAAUAAGCACCGGCUAACUCUGUGCCAGCCGCCGCAGUAAUAC